rnacentral:tRNA from 1 species
GGGGGGUAGCUCACUGGCAGAGCACUUGCCUAGCAUGUGCAAGGCCCUGGGUUCAGUCCCCAGCACCCACA